GGGGAAUAUUGGACAAUGGGCGCAAGCCUGAUCCAGCCAUGCCGCGUGAGUGAUGAAGGCCCUAGGGUUGUAAAGCUCUUUCACCGGUGAAGAUAAUGACGGUAACCGGAGAAGAAGCCCCGGCUAACUUCGUGCCAGCAGCCGCGGUAAUACGAAGGGGGCUAGCGUUGUUCGGAAUUACUGGGCGUAAAGCGCACGUAGGCGGAUUGGUCAGUUAGGGGUGAAAUCCCAGGGCUCAACCCUGGAACUGCCUUUAAUACUGCCGGUCUAGAGUCCGAGAGAGGUGAGUGGUAUUCCGAGUGUAGAGGUGAAAUUCGUAGAUAUUCGGAGGAACACCAGUGGCGAAGGCGGCUCACUGGCUCGGGACUGACGCUGAGGUGCGAAAGCGUGGGGAGCAAAC
rnacentral:rRNA from 1 species